GAGUAAAAGUCGUAACAAGGUUUCCGUAGGUGAACCUGCGGAAGGAUCAUUAUCGAGUUUUGACUGGGUUGUAGCUGGCCUUCCGAGGCAUGUGCACGCCCUGCUCAUCCGCUCUACACCUGUGCACUUACUGUGGGCUUCAGAUCGUAAAACGGGUCCCUUUACCGGGCUUGCGGAGCGUGUCUGUGCCUGCGUUUAUCACAAACUCUAUAAAGUAUCAGAAUGUGUAUCGCGAUGUAACGCAUCUAUAUACAACUUUCAGCAAYGGAUCUCUUGGCUCUCGCAUCGAUGAAGAACGCAGCGAAAUGCGAUAAGUAAUGUGAAUUGCAGAAUUCAGUGAAUCAUCGAAUCUUUGAACGCACCUUGCGCUCCUUGGUAUUCCGAGGAGCAUGCCUGUUUGAGUGUCAUGAAAUCUUCAACCUACAAGCUUUUGUGGUUUGUAGGCUUGGACUUGGAGGCUUUGUCGGCCGCUCUUGGCCGGCUCCUCUUAAAUGCAUUAGCUUGGUUCCUUGCGGAUCGGCUCUCGGUGUGAUAAUAUCUACGCUGCGACCGUGAAGCGUUUGGCGAGCUUCUAACCGUCUCAGUUGGAGACAACUUUAUGACCUCUGACCUCAAAUCAGGUAGGACUACCCGCUGAACUUAAGCAUAUCAAUAAGCGGAGGAA
rnacentral:rRNA from 1 species